rnacentral:misc_RNA from 1 species
UAGAAAUGUAAAAUUACCGAUGAAAAUAGGAAAAUGAGUCACAUACAAUUAUACGAUUAGUUUAUGAUUUAAUGUAAUUUUUAUUUUCAUGAUUAUCUUAAGAUCUAAUUCAAUUUUUAGUUUUAGGUGGGUCUCCAGACGCAGCAACCUCCACGCGUCACCGCAAGUGUGAAUACGUGACUACGCUACGAAUUUGAUGGCUAAAAUGCGGAUGUUUGUGGCAAAUAUGGACACAAAUGCAGGUAAACAAAGAAUAUUAAAAGUAAAUUAUGUAACGUAAAUAAUAAACUAUAGAAAUAAAUAGUUAAAUAAAUAAUAAAAGUUACAAAAUUUAGAAGAUACCACAUAUCCUGAUUCAAGUUUUGCUUCCACGUUAUUCAUCGUUAAGCGCUUAUCAAAGAUCUCACUUCAUUUAGUCCAGUGUGAUAAAAU